UACGGGGGGGACUAACGUUAUUCAUCAUAACUGGGCGUAAAGGGUACGUAGGUGGCUUGCUAAGUCUUGGUUAAAGAAGCUAAGCAUAACUUAGAAAUUUAAACAAUGAUACUGGUGAGCUUUUUGAGGUUGAUAAAAGGUGGGGUUAUAUUCUUGAAGUAAAAAGUAAAAAUCUGAACAUAGCAAGAGGAUAACCAAGAGGGCAAAACGACUCGCUGUAUUAAUGCUGACACUGAGGUACGAAGGUAUGGGUAUCAAACGGG
rnacentral:rRNA from 1 species